AUGCACUGGGCUGCUUCUCCAUCGCAUGUGCCAUCUGCUCCCAUCAGCCCUGUGGGGAUGCUCCAAGAGGCAGAGAGAGGGACUGAUGUGGUGGCGCAGCGGGUUAAGCCGCCACCUGCAACACUGUCAUCCCAUAUGGGAGCACUGGUUCAAGUCCCGGCUGCGCUGCUUCGGAUCCAGCUCCCUACCAGUGUGCCUGGAAAGGAAGAGGAAGAUGGGCCAAGUGCUUAGGUCCCUGCCACCCACGUAGAAGACCUGGAUGGAGUCCCAGGCUCCUGGCUUUUCCCUGGAGGGGAAGGGACCACAAAGCCGGGAGUUCCUCUCAUCCUUUAGGCUGAUUGAUGAGCUGUGCACCUGUGGGUCCCUGUGUCUCUGGUCCUGCCUGGUGGUUCUGGCCACACGUUAAACCAUCAGAAAUGAGUUUUCCCAGGACCUGGAAGACAAAUGUGUGUUUCUUCUCUCAGUGGCACUUUGUCUAGGAGCCACCUGCCCCCCAUUGACCUCAUACAGUGCCCUCCCCAGCCCUUCCAUCUCCGUGGGUGACAGUGCCACCUACAAUGCCUGCCACGCUUUGCACUGUUGCCUCCAUGACUGGACAACUGGAAAGAGUCACGAGGGAUGUGAGUUGACCCUGAAACAAUGGUCCUGUCCUUUGUCAUCCUCUACGAAUGGGAAAGAAGUGACGCCUUCCAAAAUCCCUUCUAAUGCACGCACCCAUGUCCCUAGCUGCCAUUUGCCAAGGCCUCGCUCUGUCCCAGAUUUGGGAGACCUCAUUCCUGCUCUUCUCAGCACCUCUAAAAGACAAGUACCAUUGCCUUCAAUAGAGGAAAACUGAGGCUGAGAGACACUAUGUGACCUCCUGGCUAGGGCCCCACAGAACGUGGGCCUGACCUCCAAACCCCGACUUUCUCCACAUUGUGCCUUCCUGCUGGAGUCCAUGGGGACAUAUGACGUCCACCUGCCAGCACCCUGACUCCCCUCCUCCAAUGAGGCAGAGGCUCUGGGCCUCCCAAGCUUCCUCGCUGCUCUGCCCAUCUUCUCCUGCUCCCUCUCCUUCCCGCUGUUUCAGUGUCUCCAGAUCCAUUUCCAACCCGCCCCUUUAGCUGGGGCAGCCACAGCUGGAAGGGGAGCCAUUGCGAUGGCACAGGGACCCCUCCCAUUCCUGUCUCCCCUUCCCUCCCAGUCCUGACCCAGUCCAUGGUACCCCAACUGGAACAGAAGCAAAGUCUUAGAGCUGAGGACACAGCCAGAACCUGUGUGAGUGUGAGCGGGCACACCUGUAGGAGUGAGUGAGCAAGUGCGCUUGAGCAUGUGAGAAUGUGUGUGCUAGUGAGUGUGCACGCAGGAGUGCGUCCUGUGUGGGGAAGUGUGCAUGUGCAAGCGGGUGAGAGUGAGCACGCUUGUGUGAAAGUGUGUCUGGGGGCAGUGUGCACCUGCAGGUAGCACCGUGUCUAACAGGUGCUACAGCAGAUGCCUCAGCACAUUAGGAAAGAGUUUCCUUCCAGCUUGCUUGACAGGGUACUCCAUUCGCAACGUGAUGUAGCAGCCUAAGGCUGGAGCCAGAGAGCCAGGUAGCAGAGGGGUGUGCCAGCUCCAGCUCCACGGGCUCAGCUUCUCUCCCAGCCACCUUCAGAACUCAGAAGCGCGGGGCGCUGUGGCGUAGUGCUACCUGCAGUGCCGGCAUCCCAUAUGGGCGCCAAUUCGAGUCCUGGCUGCUCCACUUCUGAUCCAGCUCUCUGUUGUGGCCUGGGAAAGCAGUGGAAGAUGGCCCAAGUCCUUGGGCCCCUGCAUCCACAUAGGAGACCCGGAAGAAGCUCCUGGCUCCUAGCUCCUGGCUCCUGGCUCCCGGCUUCAGAUCAGAGUAGCUCCAGCUGUUGUGGCCAACAGGGGGAGUGAACUGGGGAGUGAACCAGUAGAUGGAAGAUUUCUGUCUCUCUCUCUCUCUGCCUCUCCUUCUCUCUCUCUGUAACUCUGACUUUCAAAUAAAUAGUCUUUAAAAAAAAGAGCUCA
rnacentral:lncRNA from 1 species